GUAACGCCCGCCGAAGGCGACUUCAGGAAAAGUGCAACAGAGAUAUACCGCCUCUUCGGAGGUAAGGGUGGAAAGGCGAGGUAAGAGCUCACCCAUCGGCUCGAGAGUGUCCGAUGCUGUAAACUCUAUCCGGAGCAACACUGCUAUGGGAGCAAUAGGGCGGCCCGUCCGCUCCCGAGGUGGCUGAAGCGCACCGGCAACGAUGCGCUUAGAUAGAUGACUGUCAAAUACAGAACCCGGCUUACAGACCUGCUCGCAUA
rnacentral:RNase_P_RNA from 1 species